UUCCUGGUGGUCCAGUGGCUAAGACUCUGUGCUCCCAACACAGGGGGCCUGGGUUCCAUCCCUGGUCAGGGAA
rfam:TPA: Bos taurus chromosome X, whole genome shotgun sequence.